ensembl:lncRNA
AGGAAAGGCUCUUACACCUUCUACUGGCUGCGUCCUGACUGCAGUGAUUGGGUCAGGGAUGUCACAUGACCUCCACGUAUCCAAUCAGAGUGAGCGUCAGGACCAGCCGGGCUGACUGGAAAGCCUUGGCCAUGAGAGGAGGUGAGGACGGCGCUCCGCCGCCAUCUUGUCGCCGUCGAGGGGCCUGGAGGCAUCAGGUGAGGGAGAUGGGGUCCCGUUCAUGAAGCCAGACGGCCGAGGGGAAGAGCCGAGGUGCAAACCGGAGUCCGUGACGUCCUGCAGCCCUGGAUCCGGGGUCCCGAGGGGCCUGCCCUCCGCUCCUGGGCCCGCGGGGCGGACGCGGCCGUCUCUCAGCCGGUGGGCGGCCGAGGGCCUGUCGUCGUCGCGAGCUCCGCCCUGUGCAGCCGGGCCCUGCUCCGCCUGGUCGCCUGGUUGGAGGGAGGGCGGCUCGGCCUUGAGAGCGGGACGGCCCGAGGCCGGCGUGUCCGAGUCUCCGCCGGCCCACCUCUCCGCCCUCGGCCCACGGCGGCGGCGUGUGACGGGGCCGCUCCCGGACAGUCCCGGGGAGCCGGUGGGAGGAACACCCGACGCCGCAGGAGGUGGAUCAGGUCAGCAAGACGCGUGACACGGUGUGUAAAUGUUUUGCAGUGAAGGCUUCAUCUCUUAGAUAAAAAAGAGCUUGUGCGGAAGUUCCUCGUUGACUUGCUUCAUAAAUCUCCCCAGGUUACGUCCUGCUGCAGAGGCCUGUGUGGGCCCCUCCUGUUAGCGGAGGUGGGGCUCAGCUGGGAUGCGGUAACUGCCGAGCUAGGACGUGGAGAGGCCCCCAGGUGGUAGGGGGCCCUGGACAUCUCCAGAAUCGGGGUGAGCUGCUGUUAGACAAGGGAACACUCCCGUUUACUGCACCCACUGCUGACAGCCCAGAGGAAGACGAGGCCGGGACCCUCACCAGGUUGUAGUGGAACGAGGAGACUGAUGCUGCACGGGACUUUCUGUCCUGGGAGCGUGUUCUGUUCACCUUUCACGUGGCCUGGGAUUGCUCUCCCUGCUGUGGGUCAGCACUCACAAAGCCAUGGAUAACCUGCCAGGCGGGCGCCGGUGGACGCUGUCCCUGGGAGCUGGUGUCUUGUGCCAGGUCCCGAGGGGACUCUCACCCAGGAUAGGCCGAGGAGGCUGUGUCAGGGAUGUUUGCUGUGAGGCUGCUCUGAGCCAAGCUCCCUCCCUCCCUUCCUCCCCUCCACGUGGUGCGCACAGGGGGUCAGAAAAGGGGGAAGUGCUAAGUUCUGGGUGAAAAUCCAUUGCGUUUCCGCUGUCUCCAAAUUCCUGAUGCUUGGCACUGGCCAGAGUCCAGGUCUGCAGCUUGGACCCGGAGCAGCAUGACGCGUCCCUGGCAGAGAUUGUGUCCAUGACUCAGGUUCCUGGGGAAGUGAAAGCCCCUCCUGUAAACCUCCGUGACUUCCAGAGCUCCACCGUGACAGGACCGGGACCCUCACCUCUGCACUCAGACUCCAGAUGCCCCGGUGCUGCCCACACGGGACAGGCUUGGGAGCCGGACCAUCUCAUUAUGGGAGCUCAGCCACAGCUCAUCCUCGGCUCGGCUCCCAGAAUGUCCUGAUCCCCAGUGCUCCUGGCAGAGCACUGAGAACUGGGAAAGAAGGCUCUGCGCAAGUUAAAAUGCAUAAGGCUUUGAAAAGACAUCAACGUCAAUUUCAGUUUCAAGAACAAAAUGCAUUUCGUAGAACAGCGUCACAAUUACCUUGCGUUAUAAACACCCAAAUCCUGUUCGCACCGUCUGCACCCUCAUUUGUUAUGUAUUGUCUUAGUGCAGAGUGACACCUGCCUUCGCUUUAAUUAAAAGCUCAUAAUGUUCAAAUGUACUUAGAAGGAAAAAGGACAGAAUUCUCCUUUGGGGAUAAUUAUGUGCUUGUUACAGCUUGUUUACUACACCCCAGGGAGUGUGUGACUCAACCCACCUGCCCGUCACGGACCUUGCUGGAGCUUUGUCAUCAGCUGCAGGUGCUGAGAGGAUCUGAUGGCAGGUGCCUUCCUGAUCAGGUGAUCAAGAAUUUGGACUGUUUACAGCCCCAAGACCACUGCAAGGUCAAAGGGUAUUCUAGGCCCGCCGGAGGGCCAGUCAGGAAGGAAGUCAGCACCUCCCAGCCUGCAUACCAGAGCGCUCUGGGUGUGGGCCAUGGUCAGGAGGCAUUUUCCCAGGGAAGAAGCCGUCCCUGAGUUAGCAGACCGUUCAGCUCACUCACUCACUCCUUACUUCACGCAUUCAAAAUGUGUUUUCAGAGGGACCAGGCUCUGUCCUUGGUAUUGAAGGUACAAGUCAUAGCACAGCAGACUCGACCCUGCCCUCAAGUUCCCCAUCUAGAGAGGGAGACAGGCAAGGAGUGACCACUGUAAAGACAGAAUUGCGAACUGUAACGGACAUCAGGACAGAAUUCCAGGGAGCUUUGGGAACGUAUGACAGGGAGGGUCAGGGAGCUGACAUCUGAAGGAUGUGCAGUCAAGGACAGGACAUUCCAGGCAGAGGAAACAGCCAGUGCAAAGGCCUCGGGGUGAGAUGAUGCAGACCCCUUAGACACAGAAGUCAUUGUACCAAUAUGUGACACUGACAUGGGGUUCUGUGCUCACUGCUGUGAAUACACCUCCCCGUUUAAUUCUCAGUCCAGCCUCAGGAGUAAAGACAAGCUAAUGAGCACAUCAACACCAUCAUUCCCACUCCAUGGAUGAGGAUGUCGGAGCAUGUUGUGGAAGUAACUUGCCUAAGUUUACACAGCUCAUGAGUGAUGGGGCUACGACCUGACCCAGGCCACCUGGCUCCCUGUGCUGAGCUGCUUUAAGAUCUCUCAGUGUGGCUUCAGCUCUAAGAGGAGGUGGAGCAUGAUGUGAAGAGAUUGGGUGUGGGCAGGACCAGAGCCAGAGCAUGAGGGCCUGCAGGCCAUUGCAUCUGUCAGGAUCCUUUCUGUUGUGAGCAACAGCAAACUUAAACCACACCAGCUUAAAUCAAAAGAGAUGUUACUGGUGCACUUACCUGGAAUGUCUGGGGUGUGUUUCAGGCCUGGCUUGAUCCAGGGGUUCAAGUGACAUCGUCAGGGCCCACUCUUUUCUCUCCUCCUCUGUGCUGGCUCUGUCCAGCAACUGCAACCUUAACAUCCUCCUGAUUCCUGAUUCGAGUCUCAAGAAACACUGACUACCUCUUCAUAGCCAUUCAAGCAGAUCAUUUAUAGAGAGGCCUUGAUGGAGUUCAGUCACUACACCAUCCAAAUGGUCUCAAACACAUGUUGCUCUCUCAAGGCUGCUUCUUCGAACAUGGCUUCCACUGUGGGAACGGUGGACAGGGGAUACAAUCCAAGGAUGAGAUGGGUGAGGAGCCUUGGAUCGCCCAGGCCAGCUCUCAGGUCAAGCAACCAGCAGUCACAUCCUUCUGUGACCUCCUCCAACAGUGGGGUGGAGGGCUCGGCCCAAAGAAGAGGGUGUGCUGUGGGCACCUGCAGCAGGCACUCUCUGGGUGCCUACCCUGUGCAGGCGCUCUCCCAAGUGCUAUCCGGCUAGACUGUGAGCAGCACAAGAGCAGGGCCAGUAUGUCUUUAGUCACCAUGAGACACGUUAUUUAUAACAGGAAGACAUUUGAAAUGUCUCCGUUUUCAACAACGUGGCAUUAAAGGAAUAACAACUCAAAAAGCCAUGUAAGAUGCUGUUGAUCCCACGUCAGACUUCCCCGCAGAUGACCUUCCAAACGCAGUGGUUGGCAACUGGAUACCAGGGAAUGGACAAACCAAGUGGAAAAAUACUGGAACCAAAAAACUCCACUGUAAACCCUGGUUAGAGCCAGGGCAACUGAUGAGAGUUGUGAGAGUUGAAGCAACUAUAAAGAAAUCUGUCUGGUAGGGUUCGAUGUGCAUGCGCUGCUUGUGGAAUUGUUCAAGCAUCUAUUCAAAAAAAUUUUUUAAAUCAAUAAUGUGCUGUUGGCAUAAAGUUAAAUGAUCAUUUUUCAAAAAAAAAAAAUGAUGUGUGGGAAUGUUUUCCCUGGCCAUUGGCAAAAAUCUUUCCCCUGGCCAGGAAGAGCACACAAGCACAGGCAGAGUCGGAGGCUGGAUCCCAGAGGCCAGGUGAUCCCAGGCAGGCUCCCUGCCCUGCAGGGCAGCAGAGGGAUGAGGAGAGGACACUGAGGGCCGCAGGGCCCCAGAGAAGAUGGGAGGAUAGGGAGGGAGACGGACCCUCUGAUGUCAGAUCUGCUGUCCCGAGGGGUGCUUGCAUCCUCAGUGCUGCAAGUGAGGUCAGUCAGGCUGCCUGCCCGCAGCCGCCAGUUUCCAAUCAAGCACUGGAAAAGUUGAAUGAAGGGAAUCUUAAACCAGUGGCCUGAUAACCCACCUACCAGACUGUUAAUGCACCACUGGAUCCUUCCCGUGCUGCUGGUAAGUGUCACCUACCGAUGCCCCAGCUUCCUGAUUUACUCUGCAAGACUGUGCUGUGGAAUGAAGCCCGCAGGGCAGCCAGGUGAAGAGUAAUGCAGUGGCCCCAGGCCCCUUGAGCUUUGAGAGCCCUCGCUUCCCACCCGGCCCAUCCUCCUUCAGGCCUCUCUGCUGACUGCUUCUUCCUUGGGCCUUCUCUUGUGGGCAGGAGCAGAGCAGGAGCUGCCCUGGGGGGACCCCAGCAGGCAGGUGAGUUCUAAGCCCCUGUUACCCCAGGUGUGGUCGGGGGACCUGCAGCCUGGCAUCCCCUGGGAGGCUGUUGGAAAUGCAGAAUCCCAGGCCCCAGCCAGUCCUAGGAAUCAGCAUCUGCCAUGUAACCAGCCCCAGGAGACUCAUGAGCACGGUGCACUCUGAGGCGCUCAGGGCUCAGCCACAGCCAGCGGGCAGCUGUCUCUCCAGUCAGCACAGCACAGAGGGGGAGAAAUGCCCCUGUUGUGACUGCAUCAAAUAGGGUGAGAGUCAGCUGUGAGCAACUGGAAACCACAAUCCACAGGAACUUGGAGAAGACAGAGGUUUACUUCUCUCUCACAAAAACAGAGCACAGAGAAGUGUAGUGCAGGACUGGCUUGAUGGUUCAGUCAUAAGGGAAGGAGGCUCCUCUAUCUUGUUUCUAGGACGUCCUCAAUAUCUGAUCCUUCCUUAUGUUCCAAAAUGGCCGCUUGAGCUCCAGCCCUCACAUCUACAUUCCAGCUGCACAGGGCAGGCAAGCCACCAUCCUUACCCGACUCUACUCUCCAGACCUUCUCCAGUCACCUCCAAGCUUGGGGACCAGCUUCGCACAAAGCCAUGGCAGCUUCGCCUGCAUCCUGGGAUGAGCCCUGGGGAAGUCAAAGUAAUCCUCCCAGCAGGGCCAGGCAUGAGCAUUCUGACUGCCCUGAGCUCCUCACCCGCACCCCCCACCCACCCACCCGUGGAAAGAGCCUGUCCAGCAUCCAUCUAUAGGACCCACCAGGGAGAGGAGAGAGAAAAUCGGUGCUCUUAGGAAAAAUCUCUCAAAACCCAGGAGAUCUGUCAAACCAGGAAUCGAACAGAGGGACAGAUCUGUUUGCAAUCUGACUGACAAGCUCAGCUUGUUCACCUGAUAGAAGCCGAGGAGAUGCUGGGAUACGCGCUUAUGUGAGCAGGCUACACAGCGCUGGGCCAGGCCACUGUCUCAUGUAUCUGGACAGACUCCAUUAGGCCCAUUCCUCUUGAUUAAAUCUCCUCUAAGGAUGCUUGUUGGGUGGAGGGGGAAUGAUCACACGUAUCCAGGGGAGGUGCCAGGAAGCAGGUGGUGGCCCGUCACCCUCUCCCCGCCCUAAGGUCAUGAGUUGGCUUCACCCCCAACCCCCAGCCCCUGUCCUCAGUGAGGAGCAGUGUUCUCCCAAAUGGUCUUUCUGACUGGUGGCUGCUUUUUGGUUUCAUCUUGGUUCUCUCUGAAACAUUUUAGAUAACUGAGUAGUUCCUCCAGAUAUAUCAUCAGCGGUUUUGUCUGGCACUGCAUUUUUUGUUUUCUUCCUGUGUCUCUGAUUCUGUAUCUGCUUCCAUCAUUGUCUCUCCUCCUCAUGACUCCGAAAUACAGACAUUCCCUAAGACUCAAUAUUGGCCACCUUCUCUUUGUAAACUCUCCCUUGGGAUUCCAUCUACCCACCAUGGUCCAAGUGUCAUGGGAAUAGCUCUUAUCUCUGCAUCUCCAGCCCUGACUCCUUCUCCAGACUCCACUUCCGCUGAAGUCCUGCCAUGUGACAUGCCUGAUAGGCUCAGGCUAGAUCCAAUUGUGUGACCUCUCAGUACCAGCUCCUGCCAUCUUGUUCAGGGCAGCCCCAUCCCUCCAGCAUCCAGGUACCGAAUGUUGAUGCCUUCUUUGACUCCAUGAAAUCUGCUCAUGACCCACGUCCAAUCCAAGACUAAGAUACAGGGGUCUCUUGGAUCUGUAUCCAGACAAAAUGGGUGUCUUUGAUGGCAUUUGGUGACACCAAGAGAGCUAGAAUCCUGUGCAGGUCGAGUCUCAACUCACUGAAAAGCAGGGCAGUCUCCAUCCACUGAGCACCAUUCUCUCACAAGAGACAUUUGGGCAGUACUCUCCAAAGGCCCACUCUUGGGAUUCGUAAAUGCCUACAACAAAUCCCCUGCUGAGGAGGUGCGGCUGAUGGGGCAGCACAUCAGAGGCUGCUGUCGUUUCUUAGUCAGAUGGCCACCGAGCAAAUGCAAAAGAUCAGCUCCCAACACCAAGGCAUCCAAGAGUCACACGCAGGAAACGGGCACCCGAGGUUGAAAUGUGUCACCCAUCCUCUGGAGGUGCUGUGACCUCCACACAGAACAAUUUGGAGUCUCUCGGCAGGUGAUCACAGCCCUCUCACCUGGCAGGUGGCUGAGUUAACAAUGUGCUGCUGCGACCUAUCAGCUUUGGGAGAGGAUCUCCUACAGCUCAGAAGGACUCAUGAUAUAGAACGUUCCAAACCGAGCUGUCAGAUUGGUUGUUCAAUACACGGCCCCUCGCUCAGUCCAUAGAGCCCACAUCUGUGUGUGCUGGAGACACUAAUAAGGCUGUUGGUGCUGGGUGAUGGAGGAUGAUGUCCCCAAUGGUCAGCACUGAGGGCUGUGACCUCCCACCAAAGAAAGAAGUCCUGAGAACUGCACACCGAGGAUAGAGCCACUUUUAGCAGAGAAGAGCUGGGCUAUCCCAACCCAGGAGAUUUACUGGUUUCCUUAGAGUAUGUUUGUCUCAUUCUGAUGGUUGAUCUCUCAUCGAGAACCAAAGUUAAAAUUGCUUCCAAGAUAAAGGCAAACACCCGGUGCCCAUUCUUCCCCCCUGCUCACUGAUGGUGUCUGAGGAGAGCCCUGAGCUCCUGUUGGUGGACAGGACUUACUAGAGCAGAGACUCCCAGACGUCAGCGUGCAGGAGCGUCCCCUGGAGGGCCGGGCCCCACCCCAGAGUUCCUGACGGAGCAGGUCUGGAGGUCAGGACUGACAGCUUGUUUCUGAUAAGUCCCCGGGUGACGCUGAUGCUGCUGGUCCAGGGACCCCACUUUGAGAAACACUGGAAUUAUGUGAAAGGAGCAACAUCCCAAGAUGGCGCAGGACCCAGUACUCAGCACGUCCCCAUAUAAUUCAGAUCCAAAGAGCAGGCCUUCCAGGGCUGGUCACUGACCUGAGGCAUUAGUGAGGGGGGAACCCAGGGUUCCUUUGAGAGGUGGCCCAAGUUAACCUGUGGUCAGAGAUGGCCCUGGCCAGUGUCCCUCUCCCACCCUCUGCCUUUCACUGGCCCCAACACAGGGUCUUACCUGUCUGAGACAUGUGGUCCAAGCCAUUCGAUCGUCAUGGUUUUAGUCAGGGUUGUGUGGCAAAACCCCCACCAUGUCAGUUUGAGGCUACAUUCUGCCAGGGCAGUUCCUCAGAGAUGACCCCACCUCUCCAUAUAGUCAGAGAAUGUAAAACAAAUUAAAAGUAAACUUGAAAAACUGGCACAGUGGUGGUGGCUGUCCGGGGGGACAAACCCUUCCAAACUGGUACCCACAAGCCUGGACGCUGCUGCUGCACCCCACCCCUCAGCGUUGGUGGGAGUCUCUCAGGGCCAUCUGCUCAGGGAGGCAGCCAUGCUUCAGACAGGUCUAUUCUUGCUUUAAUUAAGAUUCCCGUUGGUCUCGUCCUGCUCCUGGGGUUUCACUUCAUAUUUUAAAGGGCAGGUCUCAAGAUGGUAGAUGAUCUCAGAGAGCCCGGCAGGGGGCUGCAUGACUUACAGACACUCAGUGAGUGUGCGGUGACUGACCUGCCUGCACGCCCUCUACCUGGUUUUGUCACAUGCUUUGUCUUUAUCUCCUGGGUGUCAGAGUCAUGCUGGGGCACCCCGAGCAAUGGCCAGGGAUUCUCUGCCGUGUGCCUGCCUCUCCCAUGGGUCCCUGCUGCAUCUCCUGCUGUCCCAGAGCAAUGCCUCCUCAUGGUUGGCUCAUUUGGAAGCAGGGGCGUUGCUGAGCAUAGUGAUACCCACCCUGAGGAGUGGGGAUGGGAGGGAGGAGGUGGGGGUCCUGGUGACACCCACCCUGGGGAUGGGAGAAGAAGGGGGCAUUGAAGUGACAAAGGCCGGGGCUUCAUGGAUCUUGUGCCUAGUAUCUUCCUCCCUCUCUUCAGUCAAGAUGACAGAGACCCUGUGUUGUAGAUUGGGUGGAGGCUUGAGCGCAGCCCCCUCGUGAGUUCUCAUCUGUGCAGUCACACUGUUCUGAUUCUUUGGGAUUCUUGACCAACACUCGACACCUGGUGAGCGCCGUCUCCUCCUCAUCACUCCAGGAUUCUCUCCUCCGUGAGCUCUUCCUCCCUCCCACACUGGAGCUCUGACGCUGGAUCCUUCACUCCCCUAGGGCACCUGGUGUGCCUCAGUUUACCCCUCAUCGCUGGGCAUGGUGACAGAGUCUGUCUCCCUCACGAGACUUGGGGUUCCCUAAAGGCUGGACUUGUCUUCAUCUCUGCAACCCCGAAGCGCAGCCCAGUGCCAGGGAGCAGGGGCUCUUGGGAAGGGGCGCUGAGUGAAUGAAUCAAUGAAUGAAUGAUGAACACAUGCAUGAACAUAGAAAGUGCCGCCCGUGGAUCCAGCGUCUCCCAGGAGGAGGUGUGACAUGGCCAUAAUGAACUUCCAGGUCAGAAGCCCGAGGUCCCGGCACCGACAGCUCCGGGCCACAAAUCCCUGGAAAACUGAGGACUGUCCGGCAUGGCAGCUCUCGGGAGCUGCAGUGUUUCCACGAAUUUAAUACCGUUGAAAUAAAACCCCUGAGUCUGGGAAAUGAAAUACCAUGAAUUGCUCAGCGUCAGUCUUUAGAUCCUGGAAAACCCCUGUCUGAGAGGAGCAGCCACUGCGAAACAGGCAUGAAAUGCGCUACUCUUAAAGAGAUGGUUUAUCUUUACUUAAAAAGUAAAGCACUAAAGGGAGAUCUUGGGAAAAACUCCUCUAGUUGAAGCUCUCUGAAGAUUCCUGUUAACACGGUCCGAGCUGUCAGGGUCCCCUUGUCACAUGCAGAAAGACAGGAGUCACUGCACUGGGAGGAGGCCCCGGGCAGGUGGGGGAUGCGGCCCGGAUGCCCUUUACUCCCAAUGCUGUUGCCUCCUCUGCUCCCCCAAGCCCACCCUGCUUCAGGCUCAGGCCCCGCUUGAGUCUCCACCUCCCACAUCCUCGGCUCAUGUGGGUGGUUCCAUGUGGGUCUUACCCUCACUCCCCCACCCCAGGACCCCGGAUCUCACUGUGAAAACUGGAUGCUCUCUGCUUCUUUCUGGGGCGUUUGUAAUCAUAACCAAUAAAUAAAUUAAAAAGAAAGUGGAGGCCAGCGCUGCUGAGGACUCCUGAGGAAGCAUCUCAUCCCUUAGUCGCUGGAUGCUGAGCUGCUUGGCACAAAAGAAAAAGACCAGAUUGAAACCAAGAGACGAGGAGGAGAAGGAGCCACAGAAGUUUUCCAAGGACGCUGUAAUGCUGUCCUCCUCCCUGGCUCCCAGAGCUCCUGGGUCGGCAGCACCAGCCCAGGCAGGCGAGGGUUACACAAAUGACACCAAGAGGAGAGCGAGGAGUGUCCUGGGGGUCAGGCUCGGCCACUUAAAGAGCAGGAGCUGCAGGGCAGGGGUUGCUGGGUUCUGUGACGGAGUCAGGGUGUCCGUCCAGAGAGAUGCGGCCUGAACUCCCCCAGGAAGGUCACACCCUCCUGUCACGUGCAGCACCCGGGAGGGCACCGUGGGCAGUGCCACCAGCUGUGGUUCUGCAGAGACUCAGAAAUGCACUCCCAAUGCACGGUCCCUACCACCACCCCCCCCCCCCCCCCCCCCCCCGUCAGCCUUUCCCUCAGAAGAUGAGAGACAAGGUGGUGGAGGAAGGCUGCUUCCUGGGGGCUGAGGGGUGAGAGCACAGGGGUGGGGUGAGCACCCAGAUGUUUGGGGACCAGAGAGCAGUGGUCCCACUGGUGCCAGGCUGCAGGGGAGUAGAGAAGGGCUGGAGACAGACUGGCGGCCCUGAGCCCAGGGGGGCCUUGGGGAGCUGAGGGUGGAGGGAGGGAGGACGGAGACGGGCCAGCCUCACAGGACAGCACUGCCUGUUCCCACUGAUGGAAGAGGAAAGGAAGUGAUCCCUGACCCUGAGCAUCUCUUCUCCCCCGGGCCACAGCCCUCCACGGUUUCCAGAGCCCAAAAGAGCCCAGGAGGGCCGGAACCUCUUGUCUGUUUAAUUUACAGUGUUUGGAAUUCAUUACAGAAUAAUUGUCUUAUUGAUCAGCUGCUGGCAUAUUUACUGUUUUCCCUUUCAGAUCAGAAAUGAUAUAGUGUAACUAAAGUAACUUUAAUUAUGUCAGUGCUUGGGAAAUUUGAAAGUUACUGGCACUUUAAAUAUUACCUUUUAAAUUCUGUGAAACGGAAGUGACCCUCCAUGGCAAAAUUUCAGCAUGGAGGGCCAGUGCCCUGGGCAGUCUCACUCUGUCUUCACGCCUCAGGCGCCUGUCUGCCCUGACCCUCUCCCCCUAACUCCAAUCCGAGGGUGAGGGUCCCCUGUGUGCUCUGUCCACUGGCUGCAGGGUGAGCUUCCCCGCAUGUCCCCUCUUGUUCUGGAAGGAACGGCCUCAUCCCAGGUGUGACAUCCAUUUAUCUGUUGUGCCCACCACUGUCCAUGCCCUAACUGUUCAUAACAGCCCGAAAUUCCCUGUGGGGAGCCAGCUCCCACUCACUUCUUGGCCCUGUGGUUUGGGGGUGCUGACUGCACCCCACAGGCGGAGUGGACCGUGUGACUCAGGUCCAGGUUAACUGGUGACUUCCAUUCCUCUAUGACUGGUUCAGGGUGGACAUGUGGCCCAGCCCGUGUCUUGGCCCGUGGACUCAGGACCUCUGCCUGAACAGGUUGGGUAGAGGUUCCUCCCUGUGUCACCAGGAGGUGGCAUCCACCUCAGCUUGAAGCUGACACAGAGGAUGCGGAGCUGAGAGAUGCGAAGAGAACAAGGUCCUGGUGAUUUUAUUGUCAAAUAGGGUCUGGACUUUUCAGUGACCCGUGUCAGUAAAUCCCCCUUUCCUUUAGCCAGUUUGUGUUGGGUUUCCUGUCCCUUGUGUUUAGCAGAGCUCUAACUAAUACGGGGUCAGGAAACCCCAGAGGACAGCCAGUGUGUGGGAGGAGUCCCUGCCCAGAGACACCUGCUCCUCCCGUGGAUGGACCAGCCCCAGAGCCACCAGGACAUUCUACCCUGCUGGUUGAAAGGGUUAAGGAUUGAUGGUGGGGAGGGGGGUGUAUUGGGGGUUUCUCUAGCACAUGUCCAGGCUCUCACUUCCCACCCUCACCCCAGGCCAAGGGCUGUGUGAUCCAUGGAGACCACAGCAGAGGGUUCAUCUUCUGCCCAACAACCCCUCCUUGCUAGGAACUUGCUGGAAGGUUCCCCUUGGGGUCUGUGGGGCUGGGCAAGGGGAGGGGUCUCUGGCAGAGGCUCCAGCACAGCCUGUCCCCUCCACUCCCCCCCAGUUUCCUUCUGCUACAGAGUCCACAGCUGAAUUCAUGGGCUGUGCUGUGACCAGUGACCCCUUCCUUCCUUUUGAAAAACUCAGAGAUCAUCUGAAAGAUCUGAUCCACCUUAUUUGCCUCAGUUUCCUUUCUGUAAAAUGAGGGUACUACCACUCUCUCCCUGGGUCUGGGGAGGGGGAGCCGAGGUCAGGGAUGCAGCCGCCCCACAGACGUCUGCACACAGUGAGUGUCCGGAACACCAGUGCCCCGCGUGGGCUGGCUUGUGGUGAAUAAUUGCAGGGAAGCCGCACUCAACCCACGGGAGAGCCAGCACACACGGGAAGUAUUACCUGUGAAGUAUAGCUUCAUUGCUCUUUCAUGAAUAGCGGUUGCCAGAGCUUGGAUAACUCACAUCAUUGUUGCUUUGAUGCGUGAAGAGGAUUUGCAAUGAUACAUUUAAUUGCAAUCACUGGAAAUUGAUGUUUAUGCUGUGGACCAGACUAUGUGACGUGUUCCAGGUAAACACUUUUUGCCUCCAACACAGGGUCAGAUUCAACCCAGUUUUUUGUCUCAAUUGUUGGACUCAGGACUAUGGGCAUCCCUGAGAAUUAUUCUCCUAUAAAGGUGUUUCUGGCACCCUCUUUCCUGGUUCGAUGGGGCUCCUGCAGAGCUGGGCUCGCCCUCUUUCCUGGUGCUCCCCAGUCCCGAGGACCCCCUGGUUUCCACUCCCUCUGCACCAGUUCCUGUGACACUAACAGAAGUCUGAGCUGGGGGACAGAGGACUGAGCACCUGCACUCCCAUCUGUCCUGCCGCAGGAGGAAGACAGGGGCGCAGGUGCACCCCAGGCUGCCUUUAGGAGCUGGAAUGGCAGGUGUCUGGGGAACAUGCACUGUGGGAAAUGCGGAGUUUUCCUCGGGAGGGAGUGCAUCCAGGAGGCUGGUGUCCUGGGGACAGGGGUCCACGCCUAUCACGCCCAGGACGGCACUCCCCUCGCUGGUUCCCACACCAUCUACUGGCCGGCCUCUCCCUGCCUGGUUCGGCGCCAGCCUCCAGGGCCUCCAUUUGGGGCCAGAACCCCAGGGCCUUUGUGCCCACCCUCUUCCUCUGAGCAGUCAGGUCUCAGAUCAAUGGAGCCUUUCCUCACGCGUAUCCCAGGAACACGGCGGAGGCUCUCGGGCCAUGUCCUUUCCCAACAACUCAGGCCUGCCUUCCUCACUCCUAAUUCCAUUUGUAACAACUUGUUUUUCUGUUGAUUUACUCAUUUAAGGACGUCCUCCCCACUAGCAUCUGUUGGUCUGUCCCUGACCUUGCUCUGCAGUCUUCACCUGGGCAAGUUGUCAAGGGUUCCGUCCCCUGAACCUGGAAGUCUGGCUCGUUCUCACCCCUCCCCUCAUGCUCACAGGAGCUUGUUUCUGAACCGGAUAGCCAGGCCCGUGGUCUCAAAGGCCCAAGGAUGCUUCUGGAACAACACGGCAGAUGCGGACCUCCAGCUGGCCACGGGAAGUCCAGACCAACGGUGACCAGGGCUCAUCUGCCCAGGCCGGACAGAUGAGCGCUGGAGAGGAGGAGAGACUCAUAUGACAACCAGUAAUUACAAAUGUGCACGGCCCAGGCCUCUCGGAAUUGAGGCCAGCAGCUUCCGCAGAUGUCUGUGAUGGCCCUGAGGGUGAUAGACCACAGCAGAGUGUUUGGCAGACAGGAAAAUGUGUUUGACUAACAGGGACAGCAGGCCCUUUGUUAUCUCUUGGCCUUUGUAUUUAAGACCCAGAAGGAAGCGUUUCCAUAAUUAUUAUGCUGCUCACAUUACUGGCUGUUACAAUCCAUCAUCAUGCCCAUUUAGCCAAAGAUUCUGCUGUGUUUUCUUUCUUUUCAUCCCUCUCUCUCCACAGGGCUCCUUCUGGUUUCCCUGGCGUGCACACUUCCUCCACGUCAGGAGGACAGUCACACUACUGUGACCUUUGGAGAGGAGGCGCAGCUAAGCCGGGCUCCAGUCCCGCAUCAGUGUGCAAUUAAGGGGAGACAGCGGCUUCGAGUGAGACCAAUCUGGAGUUUCAGGAAAAUUCAAGACAGAGCAGACCUGGCCCUCACGCCUUUUCUGUUGUUCUGCUCUGCUGGACGCUGGACGCUGUCUCUGUGACCGACCACCAGUCAGAAGGCCCGGGGAGGCUGGGAGGUGAGUGGCAUGGAAUUUCAUCUGGUAGCCAUCUUCCCAUUAGGACUGCGCAUAAGCUCCUCAUCCCAGACGUGGAAUAAAUCACUGGAAGAAUAAUUCAGGGGUCGCUUUGCACCCACAGAUGAAAAUGGAGACCCCAUUUCCUUGGGAUGCUGGGACGUUA